rnacentral:rRNA from 1 species
UACGUAGGGUGCGAGCGUUGUCCGGAAUUAUUGGGCGUAAAGAGCUCGUAGGCGGUGUGUCGCGUCGGCCGUGAAAACCUGGGGCUCAACUCUGGGCGUGCGGUCGAUACGGGCAUCACUUGAGUUCGGCAGGGGAGACUGGAAUUCCUGGUGUAGCGGUGAAAUGCGCAGAUAUCAGGAGGAACACCGGUGGCGAAGGCGGGACUCUGGGCCGAUACUGACGCUGAGGAGCGAAAGCGUGGGGAGCAAACAGG